AGAUGCCUUGUUGGUCUGGUGUGCCCUCUAAGGGUCUUGUUGCGAGACAGUUUUUGAAUGGUUUGGGCGUGGCCCCAAGCUUUAGAGCUGCUGGCACAUUUUGUCUCCUUUUAGGAAAUGGCUCUACAUUUAAUUCCAUUGGUGGGGAGUGAUCAGGCCCAGAGCUCUUUGCAUCGGGGCUGAGGGUAUGUGGGUUUCAGGUUGCAGGGCUAGGUGGUUCCCCACGGGGACAGGGGCACAGGCUUCUGUGUCCAUCUGUCUGGAGCACCUGUUUAUGCCUCUCCCUGUUGCAGCCUCCAUGCGGUACCUGGCUGACAAGUUCCAGAUAGUUUGAAGUUGAGCCCAGUAUCUUCAUGCAAGAGGAGCAACUGUUAACCUCCAAGGCCGGCGAGCUAUGGCCAAGCUUGUUGCCUCUUGUUCUGCCUCCACCAGGGCAUCCUCUGCCCUUUGUUUUGCCCCCUCUCUGCCCCAGUCUCACAGCAGUGUUUGAUUAAAGGACUUCUC